ACGGGAGGCAGCAGUGGGGAAUAUUGCACAAUGGGGGAAACCCUGAUGCAGCGACGCCGCGUGAGUGAAGAAGUAUUUCGGUAUGUAAAGCUCUAUCAGCAGGGAAGAAAAUGACGGUACCUGACUAAGAAGCCCCGGCUAACUACGUGCCAGCAGCCGCGGUAAUACGUAGGGGGCAAGCGUUAUCCGGAUUUACUGGGUGUAAAGGGAGCGUAGACGGUGAAGCAAGUCAGAAGUGAAAGCUCGGGGCUCAACCCCGGAACUGCUUUUGAAACUGUUUUACUAGAGUGCAGGAGAGGUAAGCGGAAUUCCUAGUGUAGCGGUGAAAUGCGUAGAUAUUAGGAGGAACACCAGUGGCGAAGGCGGCUUACUGGACUGUAACUGACGUUGAGGCUCGAAAGCGUGGGGAGCAAACAGGAUUAGAUACCCUGGUA
rnacentral:rRNA from 1 species